rnacentral:rRNA from 1 species
GACGAACGCUGGCGGCGUGCUUAACACAUGCAAGUCGAACGGAAAGGCCCUGCUUUUGUGGGGCGCUCGAGUGGCGAACGGGUGAGUAACACGUGAGUAACCUGCCCUUGACUUUGGGAUAACUUCAGGAAACUGGGGCUAAUACCGGAUAGGAGCUCCUGCUGCAUGGUGGGGGUUGGAAAGUUUCGGCGGUUGGGGAUGGACUCGCGGCUUAUCAGCUUGUUGGUGGGGUAGUGGCUUACCAAGGCUUUGACGGGUAGCCGGCCUGAGAGGGUGACCGGCCACAUUGGGACUGAGAUACGGCCCAGACGCCUACGGGAGGCAGCAGUGGGGAAUAUUGCACAAUGGGCGGAAGCCUGAUGCAGCAACGCCGCGUGCGGGAUGACGGCCUUCGGGUUGUAAACCGCUUUCGCCUGUGACGAAGCGUGAGUGACGGUAAUGGGUAAAGAAGCACCGGCUAACUACGUG